UACGGAGGAUGCAAGCGUUAUCCGGAAUGAUUGGGCGUAAAGCGUCUGUAGGUCGUUUCCUAAGCCUCCUGUCAAAGAUCAAGGCUUAACCUUGAAAAGGCAGUGGAAACUGGGAGGCUUGAGUACGGUAGAGGCGGAGGGAAUUCCCGGUGUAGCGGUGAAAUGCGUAGAGAUCGGGAAGAACACCAAAGGCGAAAGCACUCUGCUGGGCCGAAACUGACAAUGAGAGACGAAAGCGAGGGGAGCAAAUGGG
rnacentral:rRNA from 1 species